rnacentral:ncRNA from 2 species
CACCCAGAUGGGGAUGGAGUCCCCCGACAACCGCCCGGUGGUCGAGACUGUAUUGGGCUGAUGACUCCUGCUUGAGG